rnacentral:rRNA from 1 species
UACAGAGGGUGCAAGCGUUAAUCGGAAUUACUGGGCGUAAAGGGCGCGUAGGUGGAUUGUUAAGUUAUAUGUGAAAUCCCCGGGCUUAACCUGGGAACUGCAUAUAAUACUGGCAGACUAGAGUUGUGUAGAGGGAAGUGGAAUUUCCGGUGUAGCGGUGAAAUGUGUAGAGAUCGGGGGGAACACCGGUGGCGAAGGCGGGUCUCUGGGCAUCUCCUGACGCUGAGGCGCGAAAGCGUGGGGAGCAAACGGG